CGUUAACAAAAUGUAGGGUAAGGGCGCCAGUAGUCAGCCCCACACCAGUAGUCAGCCUUUUCCAGCUAAAAACCUAUAGAAAUAGCGUUCUAUUGCAAAUUAACCAAUCAAGUUACUUUUAAAAAAGCUUGGCCUUCUUAUUGUUCAGUUCAGAACGUCACAAUGACGCUAAGUGGCUGCAAGAAAUGGUAAUCUGAUUCCAAUUCGACGUUGUCACUAGUCGAGCCAAGAUGCGGCUUGCGCGCCAAAAUUUUCUUAGUGGGAAGUGCCCGACAAAAAGUUCCAUAGGUCUCUUUC